GUGCCAGCAGCCGCGGUAAGACAGAGGGUGCAAACGUUGUUCGGAAUUACUGGGCGUAAAGCGUGUGUAGGCGGCUUUGCAAGUCGGGUGUGAAAGCCCCAGGCUCAACCUGGGAAGUGCACUCGAUACUGCUAAGCUAGAGUGUCGGAGAGGUUGGUGGAAUUCUCGGUGUAGAGGUGAAAUUCGUAGAUAUCGAGAGGAACACCGGUGGCGAAGGCGGCCAACUGGACGAACACUGACGCUGAGACACGAAAGCGUGGGGAGCAAACAGGAUUAGAUACCCUGGUAGUCC
rnacentral:rRNA from 1 species